rnacentral:rRNA from 1 species
GUGGGGAAUAUUGCACAAUGGGGGAAACCCUGAUGCAGCGACGCCGCGUGAGUGAAGAAGUAUUUCGGUACGUAAAGCUCUAUCAGCAAGGAAGAAAAUGACGGUACUUGACUAAGAAGCCCCGGCUAACUACGUGUCAGCAGCCGCGGUAAUACGUAGGGGGCAAGCGUUAUCCGGAUUUACUGGGUGUAAAGGGAGCGUAGACGGUAUGGUAAGUCAGAUGUGAAAGCCCGGGGCUCAACCCCGGGACUGCAUUUGAAACUAUCAGACUAGAGUGCAGGAGAGGUAAGUGGAAUUCCUAGUGUAGCGGUGAAAUGCGUAGAUAUUAGGAGGAACACCAGUGGCGAAGGCGGCUUACUGGACUGUAACUGACGUUGAGGCUCGAAAGCGUGGGGAGCAAACAGGAUUAGAAACCCCAGUAGUCC